GGGUUUUUUUUAACAGAAAAAUGCUUAUAUUAUUUCAUUAAAGAUAGGAACUAGUUGGAAAAUAGAAAUAGUGGGAAUAAAUGUUAGAGGAAUUGGAGAAUUUCUAUGAUAUAGAUGCAAAAGUAUAGCUUUGGAAAGAUUUUUAGUCUGAUACGCAUCAGGCAUUCCCCCUUCAUCAUUUUCGGCAAAACACACUAGAACUUUUCUCAAGUGACUUCUCUAGUGCCACAAGUUUUUUAAUCAAUCCAAGUUUCAUUUCUACUCCAUUCAAUCCAAUUCAAUCCAAGUGAUUUGUCAAUUACUUCUCAACAUCCAAGUUCAAGUGCUUUAACAUAUUCUACAUAUUUGAUAAGUUUUUCAAUCCACAUUUUUUUAACAUUUAAUUUUCUCUACAUGCAUUAAGAAAUAGGAAUAUUAGAUUGUGUAGUAUACACCAAUAUAUAGGUAGUUACACUCAUUGCCAGAUUGUUUACUAAGCAAUGUGUUUUUUUGUUUUUAUUUUUCAUUUCCCUGUGUUUGUACUAUUGUUGUGUUUUCUAAGUUGAGGUAAUUACAGAAGUGCACUUCUGUAUCAUUCAUAAUAAAAAAGCAAGAUGAGAAUUUUGGCAAGUCUGCCAAGUGUCAUUAUUCUAGGUGCCAUGCUAUUUUUAAAGUUUCCAUUUAAAGUAAUAUUUCUAUUUUUAUUUUUAUUACUUAUUAUUAAUUUUUUAUAUAUUUUUAUUUAAUUUUCACGUGAAACACUCCACCCCCUUCAUAUGACUGGAUACAUUCCCCAUUUUCCAAUUUUUUCUUUUUCCAUGCAUAAUUGCAGCCAAACUUUAUGGCUGUUUCUCGAUUUUUUUCACGAUAAGGUUCCAAUUUGAAUUUAGGUUUCUCAUUCAGCCGUUACUCUGCGACGAUUGAGCUUCUCCAAGAUUUAUUGAAAGAGGCGAGUGAACACAAAAUCAGAGACAACAAAUUUCAGAGAAACUGCUGCGUGGAUGUUUAAAGGUUUGGAUCGUUGAAGUUUUGAUGAGUUGAUGAACAUAUAAUGUUUGAUGAACCGUUGAAAGUUGUUGUGUUGGUUUUGUGAAGGAAACUGAUGCUAUGAUGUUAAUCUGCGAGUUUGUGCAAAAUCGGAGGUUCAGUUUAUGCAGGUUUGAGUGUUUGCGAGAUUUGAGCGUUUUCGUACUCUUUGAAUCUUUGUGGUUUUACAGAUCCUUUAUCUCCUUCUACAUUUCUGUAGGGUUUGUGUGAAAUGGGAAAAUGGUGAUGAACAUUUUUGGGUUUAUGAUGAAUUUAGGGUUUAUGAUAUCAACUAAUUUCUUCUUCUAUUUGCGUUUCUUCUUCGUUGAAUCUUUGUGGUUUUAAAGUAUUUAAAUUUGGUUGGACUGGAUUUCUUAAGCUAAGCCAUGAUGGAUCUCUUUCUCUGUUUCAUAAGCAUCCUUCUCCAACGAAGAAGACGCUGACUCUGCUCAUAUUUUCGAGGUUCUGUUUUCGCUUUUAAUGUUUUACAUUCAAUUGAAAUUCUUGAAUCUGAAAAUUCAUGUGAAAAAUUGGGUGCAGAAAUUGAAGGAAUCAGAAAGGAAACUGAUGAAUGAGUGUAUCUACGUACAUAAAAUGCGAACAUGUUUAAUUUACACUAUGUAUAUUAUCAUAACAGCACUUAUAGCAAUGCUGGUUUGCUUGGGGGUGUUAGUGUCGCAUAAAUACUAUGUAACAUUUUGUACUACAUAGAUGAUCGUUAAACAAUGUCGGUUUGUGCAGGUUGUCGUCAUUGUCGGUGUUGCUUUGCAGGUUCUGGAAAUCGAUUGGAUGUUAUCACAACCCAUUGAACUGCUGUAGCUUCUUUGUUUGCAGUUAUAAUAUCGAGUAGCUCACAAACUGGAAUUCGGCUCUGAUUAUGUAGCUGUCACAGGAUAUCAGUUCAGGUAGGGCUAAUUGGAACGGAUUAUCUGAUACAGGUCGGUAUCCAUUAUUUCACAAUCAAUAUACAUUCAAAUAUUUUUCUGUGAUAGUCCUAUAAUGUCCUUUCGAUAUCUUCGUGCGUCUCUGUAUUUACAGCAACAUUGAUAAUCAAUUACAUGGUUUCAGGUUUGGUUUAUGUGUUUUAGUAUACAUCUAAAUUAUGAUUCAUGGUUAUGUGUUGUAGUUUAAAUCCAUCCUUCCUGAUAGAAAGUACACAAGUAGACAUAUCACUUGCGGUAUGAAAUGAUUCAACUUGCUAGAUAAUAUUGAAGUAUUGUGUAUUUACUUAUCUUCAUCUCAACAGUUGCAAAUUUGUUUAUUAACACCAAUCGGAAGAGCUUAUUUGGACUUUAGUUUAUCUUUUUGUUAAACAAAUAGAUUAUUUGUAGAACUCUGAACUUUAAAUUUAUGGAAGAAGAUCCACUCUGUGCAAAGUUCUUUCAAAAGCUCAUUUACUAUUGAAAUGUUUAAUUUUUAGUCUUAUCAAAUAGUAUAACAGUAUGUUGAUCAAGUUAGUUAAGUGAAGAUCUUUAACAUUUUUAUUCAUUUGUGUAUAUCUCACUAUAUAUUAUUGAAAACCUUUUAUUUUCCAGUAUAGAUCAGCUAUAGACAUGUGGAGCAUUGGCUGCAUAUUUGCAGAACUUUUAACCGGAAAACCUCUUUUCCUUGGGAAGAAUGUUGUCCAUCAAUUGGAUAUCGUGACUGAUUUUUUUGGAAAACCAUCUCCUGAUGCCAUUGCAAGGGUUUGCCGUUAAGCUUUUCUUCUUCAUACCGAUUUGUUUAAUUUUUUUUGUUACUUACUGAAAAGGGGAGCUAUUGCUCCACCUGAGCGGCAACAUGCGUCUUCGUUACCAUUAAUUAAAUAAUAAUUAAUCAAAAUAAUUUUUUUUACCAUGAGCAGUUCUUUGUUUUUUUGGUUAAGUUGAAAUAAAAUAAAAAAAAUUCUUUUUAGAUUAUUUGUUGUUUUUACUAAAUAAAAUUUAAAAGAAUUUAAUUAAAAAUUAAAAAAAAAAUUUGAAGAAAUGUGGCGCUCCUUUCCCUUUUUAUAGGAUAAUUUUUAUUUUAUUUUAUUUAUUUGUUAUUCAUUUAAUUUAAUUUUGU